rnacentral:rRNA from 1 species
CCUACGGGUGGCUGCAGUGGGGAAUAUUGCACAAUGGGGGAAACCCUGAUGCAGCGACGCCGCGUGAGUGAAGAAGUAUCUCGGUAUGUAAAGCUCUAUCAGCAGGGAAGAAAAUGACGGUAACUGACUAAGCAGCCUCGGCUAACUACGUGUCAGCAGCAGCGGUAAUACGUAGGGGGCAAGCGUUAUCCGGAUUUACUGGGUGUAAAGGGAGCGGAGACGGGGCUGCAAGUCCGGUGGGAAAGCCCAUGGCUUAACCAUGGUACUGCUCUGGAAACUGUGGAGCUUGAGUGCGGAAGGGGCAGGCGGAAUUCCUAGUGUAGCGGUGAAAUGCGUAGAUAUUAGGAGGAACACCGGCGGCGAAGGCGGCCUGCUGGACCGUAACUGACGUUGAGGCUCGAAAGCGUGGGGAGCAAACAGGAUUAGAUACCCUUGUAGUC